rnacentral:rRNA from 1 species
AACGAACGCUGGCGGCAGGCUUAACACAUGCAAGUCGAACGCUCCGCAAGGAGAGUGGCAGACGGGUGAGUAACGCGUGGGAACGUACCUUUCAGUUCGGAAUAACUCAGGGAAACUUGUGCUAAUACCGGAUACGCUCGUAAGAGGAAAGAUUUAUCGCUGAAAGAUCGGCCCGCGUUGGAUUAGCUAGUUGGUGGGGUAAUGGCCUACCAAGGCGACGAUCCAUAGCUGGUCUGAGAGGAUGAUCAGCCACACUGGGACUGAGACACGGCCCAGACUCCUACGGGAGGCAGCAGUGGGGAAUAUUGGACAAUGGGCGAAAGCCUGAUCCAGCCAUGCCGCGUGAGUGAUGAAGGCCCUAGGGUUGUAAAGCUCUUUCACCGAUGAAGAUAAUGACGGUAGUCGGAGAAGAAGCCCCGGCUAACUUCGUGCCAGCCGCCGCCGUAA